rnacentral:rRNA from 1 species
UACGUAGGCAGCAAGCGUUGUUCGGAAUUACUGGGCGUAAAGAGUGUGUAGGCGGUGCUCUAAGUUCGGUGUGAAAUCUCCCGGCUUAACUGGGAGGGUGCGCCGGAAACUGGAGUGCUUGAGCGCGGGAGGGGAAAGCGGAAUUCCUGGUGUAGCGGUGAAAUGCGUAGAUAUCAGGAGGAACACCUGUGGUGUAGACGGCUUUCUGGACCGUAGCUGACGCUGAGACACGAAAGCGUGGGUAGCAAACAGG